GAUCAUGGCUCAGGAUGAACGCUAGCGGCAGGCUUAAUACAUGCAAGUCGAACGGGAUCAGGUAGCAAUACUUGAUGAGAGUGGCGCACGGGUGCGUAACACGUAUGCAACCUACCUUUAACUGGUGAAUAGCCCCGGGAAAUCGGGAUUAAUACACCAUAACAUUACAAGAGGGCAUCCUCUAAUAAUUAAAGAACUUCGGUUAAAGAUGGGCAUGCGGGACAUUAGCUAGUUGGUGAGGUAACGGCUCACCAAGGCAACGAUGUCUAGGGGUCCUGAGAGGGUUAUCCCCCACACUGGUACUGAGACACGGACCAGACUCCUACGGGAGGCAGCAGUAAGGAAUAUUGGUCAAUGGGCGCAAGCCUGAACCAGCCAUGCCGCGUGAAAAGGAAGACGGCGCUAUGCGUUGUAAACUUCUUUUGUCAGGGAAUAAAUGUAGGUACGUGUACUUACUUGAAGGUACCUGAAGAAUAAGCAUCGGCUAACUCCGUGCCAGCCGCAGC
rnacentral:rRNA from 1 species